rnacentral:rRNA from 1 species
AACGAACGCUGGUGGCAGGCCUAACACAUGCAAGUCGAGCGGAUGAGAAAAGCUUGCUUUUUGAUUCAGCGGCGGACGGGUGAGUAAUGCCUAGGGAUCUGCCUGUUAGUGGGGGAUAACUCGGGGAAACUCGGGCUAAUACCGCAUACGUCCUACGGGAGAAAGUGGGGGAUCUUCGGACCUCACGCUAACAGAUGAGCCUAGGUCGGAUUAGCUAGUAGGUGAGGUAAUGGCUCACCUAGGCGACGAUCCGUAACUGGUCUGAGAGGAUGAUCAGUCACACUGGAACUGAGAAACGGUCCAGACUCCUACGGGAGGCAGCAGUGGGGAAUAUUGGACAAUGGGCGAAAGCCUGAUCCAGCCAUGCCGCGUGUGUGAAGAAGGUCUUCGGAUUGUAAAGCACUUUAAGUUGGGAGGAAGGGUAUUCACCUAAUACGUGGGUACUUUGACGUUACCAACAGAAUAAGCACCGGCUAACUCUGUGCCAGCAGCCGCCGUAAUAC